UACGGGGGGAGCAAGCGUUGUUCGGAUUUACUGGGCGUAAAGGGCGCGUAGGCGGCCACCGCAAGUCGGUUGUGAAAUCUCUGGGCUUAACCCAGAAAGGUCAAUCGAUACUGCGGGGCUAGAGUGCAGAAGGGGCAACUGGAAUUCUCGGUGUAGCGGUGAAAUGCGUAGAUAUCGAGAGGAACACCUGCGGCGAAGGCGGGUUGCUGGGCUGACACUGACGCUGACAGCGCGAAAGCUUGGGUAGCAAACGGG
rnacentral:rRNA from 1 species